rnacentral:rRNA from 1 species
UACGUAGGUGGCAAGCGUUGUCCGGAUUUACUGGGCGUAAAGAGCGCGCAGGCGGUCGUUCAAGUCGCGUGUGAAAGCCCCCGGCUCAACUGGGGAGGGUCACGCGAUACUGAUCGACUCGAAGGCAGGAGAGGGUAGUGGAAUUCCCGGUGUAGUGGUGAAAUGCGUAGAUAUCGGGAGGAACACCAGUGGCGAAGGCGGCGACCUGGGACGAUACUGACGCUGAGGUGCGAAAGCGUGGGGAGCAAACAGG